ensembl:misc_RNA Metazoa_SRP Metazoan signal recognition particle RNA
CCUGGGUGACAUUCACCUCAAAAAGAAAAGAAAAGAAUCCAGGCCUGUAGAAGGAUUUCUUGAGCCCAGGAAUUCUGUAGUGUGUCGUGCCAAUAGUGUAUCUGCACUAAUUCGGCAUCAAUAUGGUGACCUCCUGGGAGCAGGGGACCACCAGGUUGCCUAAGGAGUGACCAACAAGCCCAGGUCAGAAACAGAGCAGGUGGAAACUACUGUGCUGAUCAGUGGUGGGCUCACAACUGUGAAUAGCCACUGCCCCUCCAGCCUGGGCAACAUAACGAGAGUCUUUCUAU